UUGAACGCUGGCGGCAGGCCUAACACAUGCAAGUCGAGCGCGAAAGUUCUUCGGAAUGAGUAAAGCGGCGGACGGGUGAGUAACGCGUGGGAAUCUGCCUAGUAGUGGGGGACAACAGCCGGAAACGGCUGCUAAUCACGCAUACGCCCUACGGGGGAAAGGGGGGGAGCUUCGGACCUCUCGCUAUUAGAUGAGCCCGCGUCGGAUUAGCUAGUUGGUAGGGUAAAGGCCUACCAAGGCUACGAUCCGUAACUGGUCUGAGAGGAUGAUCAGUCACACUGGAACUGAGACACGGUCCAGACUCCUACGGGAGGCAGCAGUGGGGAAUAUUGGACAAUGGGGGCAACCCUGAUCCAGCCAUGCCGCGUGUGUGAAGAAGGCCUUAGGGUUGUAAAGCACUUUCAGUGGGGAGAAAGGUUUGUCACCUAAUACGUGAUGAAAUUGAUGUUACCCACAGAAGAAGCACCGGCUAACUCCGUGCCAGCAGCCGCAGUAA
rnacentral:rRNA from 1 species